UUCUUAAUGAUACUUUAUGUUAAGUAAUACCUGCUCAAUGAUCUUUCAAUUGCCGCGGAAUUUUAACCGUGCUAAGGUAGCAUAAUCAUUAGUCUCUUAAUUAGGGACUUGUAUGAAUGGUAAAACAUUUCAAAACCUUUAUUAUUCUAUUAUAUUAAAAUUAAAUUAAGAAUAAAAAUGUUCUUAUUAAAAAAUUAGACGACAAGACCCUAUUGAACUUAACUUUAGUUUAGCUGGGGCAGCUAAUAAAUUAUUAUCUUUUUUCCAUUACUUAUUUAAAAGACCCAAAAUAUUUGAUUAUAUGAAUAAGUUACCAUAGGGAUAACAGCGUAAUAUUUUUCUAGAGUUCUUAUUUAAAAAAAUGAUUGCGACCUCGAUGUUGAAUUAAUGUAACUUAAAAAUGCAAUAAUUUUAAAAGUUAGUCUGUUCGACUAUUUAAACAUUACAU
rnacentral:rRNA from 1 species